GUUUUAAUGAGUUUGAGCUUUAAAAGCCACAUUGCUGGGGGUUUUCUUACCAGAGAAAAAAAUAGCUAUUAGGGAGGAGAGAGAGCAGAAUUCAAGGUCAGGAGUAGACACCAACCUCCUUUGUACAUAACUGUUUACAGACUUGACUUCAGAAACCAUAAUUUGGGGGGGGGGAUUUUUUUAAAGCAAUUUCUAUAAACCUUAAGAAAUUAAACAAAUGAGGUAACUAAUAUAAAAUUGGUAGCAAAAACAUAAGGUGACCAGUUCAUAUUACUUUAAAACAAAUGUGCAGGGUAGAAGGCAAGAAUGACAUCAUAGGUUGUCCUCUGUGUGCAUGUAUGCACGCAAACAACACACACACACACCAGUAAAUACACACAUACAUGCACACAUACACACACACAAAUACACACACCAGUAAAUACACACAGAGACACACACUAGUAACUACACAGUAAAAAUUUUUUAAAUAUGUAACAGACUAAUACUUGCAUAGCUGGGACAAAGCAAGUGGGCAGUUGUUUCAAUACUUGGACAUUGGAAUUUUCAAUAUAAUGAAAAAUUAAAAAUCUACCUGUACAUAAGCUCUAACAUUCUUAAGCCCAAAAUCUGAAUCAGAAGCAUCAAUAAGGCAUACUAAUUUUUAUCUUUUAAUUUUUCCAAAGAAAGAGAAAAUAUUUUAUAUCUAUGUCCAAUAAGAAAUACUAGGAAGAAGAAACAAACUAGGCAUUCCCACGCCUCACAUCUAAAUAUCACCUCCUUGUAAAAAGUCUGCAGGAGGAGGCAUGCAAGUAUCUAAUUCCAUGUCUAAAGGAGGAGGCAUGUAAGAUGAACUGAAAAAGCCAGAGGGUUGGUUAUUCUAGGAAGCAAGGAAGUCAUGAGAAGCUGCUGAGAGGAUGUGCAGAGGGCUCACGUGCCAACUUGAAGAAGCUCUUACUGGUCAAAGAGAGAAUGCUUUAAUCAUUUAUAAGGAUUACGUCAGCAAGGGAUUAAAACAUGACAUAAACUUAAUCCCACAUGCUAAAUGAAUCUGCAAUUAAUGGCCUGUGCAGAUGCUUAGGGCGGAAGGUGGGGGUUCAGCAGGCAUGUACCUUACCUCUGCUACCAAAGCUGUAUCUCAAAAUAAUAAGGGAUAAAACAUUUCUUUAUAGAAUUAUUUUUAGCAAAUGGUAGGAAGGAAAUAUUUAAAUGCAAGAUUAGAACUCUGUCAUUUUGCAACCACUCAUGAAACAAUGAAAUUGACAGGAUUGUUAACAGCAGGGACACCAUAGGAAAGAAACACACAGACAUGUACCUCAUGCAGAGACACAAUUCUCAAAGAAAUUGUCCUCCUGCCCCGGUGCUAGAUUUGAAUCUGAUCAAUUCAGAUCAAUCCAAAUCUAAGGCCAAUUUACAGACAGUACAGGUGGUGGCAUCUUCAUGAACAACCGACAAGUAGAACGGCCUGUGCUCAAGACACUGCCUGCGUACUGACUCUUAAACAACCACAGACUGUGCCCUAUGCCUGCCAUGUGUGUGGCAACUCGAAUACCUUCCAUAAGAGAACGAAAGGCUGGACAAAUGUAACACUGGCUGGGUGGUAUCGUUAAAGAAUUACUGAGGCUUUGGGUCAGAGGCAACUGUGCAGAUUGUAUCUGAUGAAUCUUCGCCUUUUAAAGGUAUUUGUUCAAAUACUUCCAAAUAAAAUUAACUGAUGUUUGAGGUUUGCUUCAAGAUAACCCAGAGAGGACAGAGAAGAAAGAUCACCAAGAGUUAGCAACUGUAUGAACACGGUGAUGAAGACCAUCUUCAUUAUCAUGAUACUAUGGUUCUCUGAAUGUAUGGGAGAGGGAGAGAGAGGAAGAGAGAACCGUGGGGUCCAGUGCAGGGCCUUGCACAUGCUAAGUACAUAACUUAGCACUGAACUACAUCUCCACUAAAAAAUUAAUACUUUGAUCUUAGUCUGAUUAUUAAUGGCCAUCAACCUCAGGGUGUUGAAAAUUCAUCAAAGGAUCUGAAAUCAACGGUUCUAAUGGUAAAGUACUAACACGCAGGAAAAAUGAAAACAACACAAGUUUGGAGAGAAGACUCUGUCAGAAAAGGGGGUUGCCCUGCAAGUACGAUGACCUGAGUUUGGACCCCGACCCACAUUUAAAAUGCCAGUUGCAGAGGCACACACAGUCAUCCCAGUGUCUUACCACUCUAGUUGAGAGUAAGGUAGACUAAAGUCUCAUGCAAUAGCCAACUUUACUCAGAGCAUCUGACAACGGAUACUCAGAAGGUAAAGAAGAGUCACUAAAUGAAGCAUACAAUCACAAGGACAAGACGAAUGCGGCAAAACAAAACAAAACAUUUCUCCACAGAGGCAUACAAACAAAUAUAAGCCGGUUUUAAUGAGUGAUCUGAAGUAAACUCACUCCUAUCCGCCACACCUGGAGGAACACAAAAACACAUUCCGAGAACUAUUCCGUGUUUUGAAGAAACUGAGGUCAGAACACUCUUGUUUUCUUAGAGUUUUCUCACAAGCACUCAGAAUUCUCCUCGACAACUCCACAGUUGAACCAUUCCAACCUCCCAACACUGAAGCUGCAGAGACAGGAGGACCCCUGGGGUUUACUGAGCAGCCAGCAUAGCCAAACAGGUUUAUGUGACAUGUGUUGGAUGAAAGGAUGGGAGACACAGACCUCCUCAGCCACAGGGAGCACUCUCCAGGAUCACGGGAUGGGAGGCACAGGAUGGACACACAGAUAUACAGACUGCCUCAGCCACAGGGAGCACUCUCCAGGAUCACAGGCUGAGUAAUAAUUUCUCUUCAGUUUGGGAAGUUUUCAUUAUCAUGAAUAUUUUGUCCUUGUCCUGAUUUGUAAACAUGCUUUAUGGUUAGAAGAGGAGACACUAACUUUGAAAUUUCAAGAGGAAAUGUGCAGUCACGUCUACAAUGAUUCUGCUUCUCUGUCCAUGUAGGGGAUACUGAGAGUAGCGAUGGUCACUUUAUGAUUCUUCUCUGACCACAUACACACAGAAUAAGAGAUGAAGAAUCAAAUAUCAUCAUAUGCCUACCAACAAAUCCUGACGAAAACAUUUCCAGGCUUUUGAGUUUUAACGGGCACGUUUAAAGUGUACCUUGUAGCAUUUCAUAGGUCAUUAUUAAAUGAUGAUCAGUAAUGAUUGGGGGAAGAAACCAAAUUUAAGUAUGACUUACGUUUAAAUUAUUAGCAUCAACAUGUAUUUCUAAUGUUUGUCAUUUUAACUCAUUAUUAUUCAAGCCACUCAUGACUGGGAAAUUAUCCAAACUGUACUGAAAUGUGAAGAAUUUUAACCCUUACAGAACAAGAAAAGGCAUGUAGCCAUAGGUAGUCAGAGAACAACUGUAGAGUGAAAACAGAAGUGUCGAGAGCUAGUGACAGAGGAAGGACAGGGAUGGAGCUCUUCCCCAGGAACACCCCCAGACUGUGGCAAGCAUCGGCAGGCGAGAGCCUUCCAGGUGUAAUUAUGUUCGAAUGUUCACAUCUGUACUCAAGGACAGCAGACAGCACACUGCUAUCAGUAAUGCAUGCACUUGCAAACUCACUUUGGUUGGCGAACAUUCCAUGUCCAAAGAAUGCCUUUUCCCUAGGUAAAUUUUAAUAUAUUAUGAGAAGAUUAUUGAUUUAUAUGUCUCAUUUGGCUGACAAAAAAGAAAAAAAAAUCAAAGAAACCAAAAAAUCAAAAAACAAAAACCUUUUUUUGUCAUGCCAUUCCAGGAGAAAAGUUACCCUAACUGCAGGAAGUUUGGAAUUCAUCAUGCUGGAAUAGACAAGCCAUUAUGUGUAUUACAGUUUAUUAUUUUCAACCUCAUUGAUUUAAGGACUUGAGAUUGUUCAAAUCCAACUGGCCCACUGCUUUCCUUGGAGCUGUCAGGAAAGGAAAUGUUUACUAUGCAAAUUAGUAUUGUAAAUGAAACUCUUCUGAGAAAAGUAAUUUGAACAUUUCAGGUAUGUGAAUCAAAUGAAUUUCUCAAGACUAAGGGACACAAGGAAGGGGGGGUGAUGGCUACAGGGGCAUGGGCAAAGGUGGGACUCUGUGUACCGAGGCUCUUGUUGGGGCUACUGCAGAGCGUGGCUACAGAAAGGGGUGAACUGCAAAGGGCACAGCUAGGGCACAAGAAGGGCCAUUCACUCUAAGAUGAGGAGGCGUCUGUUGCUUACGGUGCUGCCUACAGAAGGGUAGGGGAAGGUCCUGGCCUCAAGCCCAGCUCUGCAAGGUUGCAUAUAUACACCAUAUAUAUGCAAAUUUCACCAUAAUUUUGAAAAGGAGAGGCUUUAUUUGAGUAUAUUUAAACCAGAGUCCCAUUAAUUAGUACUUAGAAAAACAACGCACUCUCUCUAAGUUCAUUGUAAAAUAGGAACAGCGCACCACUAGAGCCCCCUCAGAGGCCAGCAGACCAGCGGUGAAACGACUGCAGUUCAAUGAGAGCUUCUGGUGACAAAGGAAAGGCAUCCACCAAAGGCCUUCUCAGCCCUGUGGGUGUUUUCGAAUUUAACUGUUACUCAUGAAACUAUUCAAGCACAUGUAUCACAAAAUAGCAGAAUAAACCUCUGUGUUAUCACCAAGUGAAAACGGUUAUGACUGUUUUGGUGGUACAGACUUAAUUUAAAGUGACACUACAGGGUGUGCCUGUUUCUUCUAUUAUAAUAUCUGACACAAACCGAAUAGCCAGAUGAAUGAAUGACAGGAUUAACAAAUUUAGAAUCGAGGAGGGAAAAAAAAAACAGUUCAUAGUAUUCGAAGAGAGGAGAGAUGGGCUAAGGCUAAUGGGAAGCUAAUCUUCUAGAUCUAAAUAGUAGACCAACCGAGACAUGAACUUGUAAAUUAGAUCACAUCAUACUCUCACCAUACACUCGCAACAAUAUUCGAAAGGAGAAGAAUAGAUUAAUCAACCUUCAUGGACUCAAAGUUGAAAAAAGAGAAGGGUGGGCAAAAGAUACCCAGGGAGCAGCCCGCCACCGCCACCGUGUGUGGUGGAGAGAUGGGAAUGAAAAAGAAGCAGUGGUUUGAGCUCUGUGAACAGGGGCGGAACUAGAGAUCCAAGGGCGGUGAGGCACAGCCUGAUGAGUGCUCUGAUGUGAGUGGCACACCCUGCCACUUGAGGCUAUGGUGAAGUCAUGGCAGGUGCUGCCACUGAGGGCCAUGUCUGGGUCUGUGGCCAUGCAACAACAGGCUUCUGUGAUGUUGUCCAUAGCCCAUGUUAUCAUCAAAGGCCAUGCUGAUGUCCCUGACCUGGCCUGCUACCUGGAACCAUGUAGAUGUCUAAGGGCUGCACAGAACUCCCACCCUCCCAUCUCACCCCCCGCAACCAGGUCCAGCAUUCAGGAGAUCGGCCUCUGUACCUCACCUGCACACUAGAGCUGUUCCAGCCAGCAAAGGUGAGGGUGAACUGGUCUGGAGGGCAGGAGAGAGGAGAGCUGACCCUGUCCCUUGCUGGUUGUGGCAUUUGGGUGACCAAGUCAGCUACCACCCAGGCCAAGAUCCUGGGCUUUGAGUUGGCCCACAUGAGCAUCUACUGCAUCUGUGAACUACUGGAGCAUGUGAAGGGGUAGGUCCUGCUGAUCCGAAGCCGUGGGAUCCCCAUGACACAGAGCAACAACAGGAGAAGCCAGAGUCCUUGUACCAGAGCAAGGAGUCAUUGCAAUGGAUGUUAGCAAGUAAAGAUGUUUAGACAAAAGGGUAGAGUGUGUGAUAUACCAUGCCACCCUGCAGCUUCAGCAACAAGACGUUUUGUUCCUUUGUUUUUAA